AUUCCAGCUCCAAUAGCGUAUAUUAAAGUUGUUGCAGUUAAAAAGCUCGUAGUUGGAUUUCUGGUUCAGAGGGCUUGGCCCAUGGCCAAUUCUAGGUUCAUGAGUGCCGAUGCUUUCGUACCAUCCUUCCGGUGAUGAUUCAGGUCCCCUUCAUUGGGUCAGCCUGGUUGUUCCGGAUCUUUUACUUUGAAAAAAUUAGAGUGUUUAAAGCAAGCUGUGUGUUGAAUACAUUAGCAUGGAAUAAUAAUCUAGGACUUUGGUUCUAUUUUGUUGGUUUCUAGCGCCAAAGUAAUGAUUGAUAGGGAUAGUUGGGGGUGCUAGUAUUUACCGGCCAGAGGUGAAAUUCUUGGAUUCGGUAAAGACUAACUUAUGCGAAAGCAUUCACCAAGGAUGUCUUCAUCA
rnacentral:rRNA from 1 species